rnacentral:rRNA from 1 species
UGGGGAAUUUUGGACAAUGGGCGCAAGCCUGAUCCAGCAAUGCCGCGUGCAGGAUGAAGGCCUUCGGGUUGUAAACUGCUUUUGUACGGAGCGAAAAGGUCUGCCCUAAUACGGUGGGCUCAUGACGGUACCGUAAGAAUAAGCACCGGCUAACUACGUGCCAGCAGCCGCGGUAAUACGUGGGGUGCGAGCGUUAAUCGGAAUUACUGGGCGUAAAGCGUGCGCAGGCGGUUAUAUAAGACAGGUGUGAAAUCCCCGGGCUCAACCUGGGACCUGCAUUUGUGACUGUAUAGCUAGAGUACGGUAGAGGGGGAUGGAAUUCCGCGUGUAGCAGUGAAAUGCGUAGAUAUGCGGAGGAACACCGAUGGCGAAGGCAAUCCCCUGGACCUGUACUGACGCUCAUGCACGAAAGCGUGGGGAGCAAACA